ACACUGCAAAGGGCCUGGCAGGUGGCAGGCAGAACAAAAGCUAUUUUACCAGUGGGAAGGGCCCCCAGGAUGCAGUCCAGAAUGCCCGCUCUCUUGUGCACAGUGGUAGUUUUCCUCUUCUUUGGUUCCAGCAACACGCAGGGCAUCACUCAAUCUCCAAGUUUAGUGCAGGAAAAAGAGGGAGAAUCUGUGACAUUGAACUGCCGUUUCACACUCAGCUAUACUUACUAUGUGAUGAGGUGGUAUCAACAGCUUUCCAAUAGAAAGAUGGCUGAAAUCAUUUAUCUUUAUUCUGCUAGCACGAACACUAGAACAGGACGAUAUUCUGUGUCACAUCAGAAAGGAAACAAAGCUGUAAGUCUCACCAUCACAGGCUUAAUGCCUACAGACUCAGGCAUCUAUUUCUGUGCUGUUGGAGAAGCUCCACAAUGAGAGGAGUGACAGGGA